rnacentral:lncRNA from 1 species
GAGACCAGGAAGGCACCAGAAGGGGACGCAGUCACCGCCCUAGGUGCUGACCCAUCAGAGACGCAGUUGAUGAUGGCGUGGUGGAGAAGAUGACAAAGGCGCAAGACUUUAAAUUCAGUCGCAAGCGUUCGCUUCACUCCCGCUACGACUGAGGGGGAAUGUUAGAAGUAUAAUUGGGUUUAAGUUAGAGAUAAGGAGAUAGAGAUAGAAUUAGUUUAAACCACAUGUAACUUGUCUUGUACUCCAAGCCUCUACCCCUCAU